rnacentral:lncRNA from 1 species
GGAACCUGAUCCUCGGUAGCGAAGGGCUGGAGGCAAACACCGAGCUCCCCCUGAGCCGCCUGGGAGCAGGGAGGGUUCUGCUACCCUGAGGGGCCCUCCCCGCGGGGCAGAGGGGACCAGCCCAACAUGGCUUCCAACACAGAGACCAGAAGGACCCAAUAAGAGACCGAAGACACGACUGAUAAUACAGAAAGGAGGGUGAUGCUGUGUGCAAGGCAGAUACAAGAUGGUUUUUCCAUAAGAGGAAGUGAUCAUGGCAACCAUGACCUUCUCUGACCUUCUCUCUUCCAAGAGGCUGUUGGGAAGGUGGGAUGACCUAGGAUUGACCUUGGACUUGACAUCACAGAAGCCAUUUCAACCUUCACAGAGGAGUGUUCCACUGACUGACCUCUUUUUGUUUUCAAAUGAAGAGGAGCCAAGAAUAGGACAGCUUGGGAAGGUGAGCUGCGUAUAGCUCGUCAGGCUGAGCUCAUCCUCGUCUACGGCCAAACGUUGGUUUCUCAUUUCUAGAAGAUGAAAGAUGUGAUGACUCAGGAAAAACUGGAAUCUUAGUAACUGUGGUGGGCAUUGAGCCUUGCCGUCCACAAGAGAAAGCUUGCUGCUCGAGAUGUGAGUCUUCAGAUGUUCCUGCCGCCAUAUCUGACAGCUGCUGCCAAGAUUCCCUGGUGGGAUGGACUCUUAUACCUCAACAACCAGAAGCCCAAGUAAACUCUUCUAUAAAUUGAAUGACUCAUGCUUAAAAAAAAAAACAAAAAA